GCUGUCUGCAAUGUAUGUGGGAACGACGAUGAGGAUGAACACCAUGCAGUAAUCAUGUGCACAAAGAGUGCAGCCCUAUGGUAUGCUAUGAGAGAUCAGUGGGAGUUACCCUCGGAAUAUUCUUUCCAGAAUACGGGUUGUGACUGGCUGUAGGUUCUUUUAAGCUCGGUGACGGAGGACAUGAGAUCAAAGAUACCGCUUCUUCUAUGGAGAUGCUGGCACCUGCGAGAUAAUUGUGUGCAUGGGGACGACAAAGAAACGAUUGGGAGAUCAGUGCAAUACUUGUCUAAACUGUUGGAGGAAUGGAAAAAUGCAGAUUUGGAUCGCCCUUCCCUGGCCGGAAAAAAGGUAGUUCCCUGCUCCAGUUCCUUACCUUGCGUCUCUGCUCGGAUGGUCGCGCGGUGGAAUGCACCGGCCCCUGGGACUGCUAAAUUAAACUCGGAUGCAUCCUUUCUCCCGGACACUGGACAUGGAUGGGGCGGUGCAGUAGCUAGAGACUUCAGGGGUCUCACAAACUUGUCAGUUGGCAGACAGCUCGCCUCCGAUAAAGGCUUUCUCUUUCACGUUCCGUUCACAGCGGCUAUCCUAGCCACCCGCCACACCAGCCGGACCCGCAGCCCAUGUGGCAUUUCACUCCGACCCCACCUUGCUUCCCUUUCCUGA
rnacentral:rRNA from 1 species